rnacentral:lncRNA from 1 species
UACUCUUCCAGGGGAAACAGGAACGCCCUUUGUGCUGGCCCAGCGCCUCGCCUAGCCAGCCGAGGUGGGCAGGGUCAGUGCCAGCCGAAGUCAUGAAACCAACUGUGCCAAGGGAUGCGAGGACAAACUGGCUUGUGCCCAAUCUUCUCAACUACCUUACUUCACAGACAGACUGACUUAUCUGUAAUUGCUCCCCUCUGGCUAAACUAGUGUUCAACUCAGAAAACACGAAGAAUUUUCCCUGGGGCAAUGAGCUUGUCCCAAUUUCCUGCUGACAAGAGUGAGAGACACCAAAAUCUGCUCUGCCUCCUGAACACCUGACCAGCCACAGCCACUCUUCCCUCCUCAGAGUCUCUCAAGUCCCACACCCAAAAUCUGCCCUCCACCUUCACGGGUUCAUGAGGAGUCUCUCAUACCGUCUACCUACCAAUCCAUCUGCCUUUGUCAGAAUCUUUUUUAAAAUUCUUUCUCCGCCAGCCCAAAAGCAAGUAAACAUGGUGAUAACUCGAAAUCUUGGAAGAGUAAAAUCCCAGUUCAGAGAAUUUGAGAAAAGUGAACUCUGGAGAGGACAACGGAGUUUGUGGAAUUAUUCUAGGGAGACUGUUUUACUCUGAUGCCAAGAAGGAGGAACAGAAACUACUGCAGUGGCCGCUAAGGUUUUAAUGGCCGAUUCGGGAGCAAUUUCAGAGGUUUACGUAGAACUUACACUCUUUUCAUUCCCUCAGACAGUCAGUUCUGAAAGGUUAAGUUAGUCUUGCUCUAUUGGUUAUUUUUCUCUCACUAGGAUAAAAUACUUAAAUCUUAAAGGGGGACAGGUUUAUUUUGACUCACGGUUUUGGUGAAUUCAGUCCAUAAUCAGCUGGCUCUGAGGCAAAAAAAGCACGGCGAAGGAAAGCUGCUCAUAUCAUGGCAGCCAAGAAGGAGAGAGAGACGGGGAGGAGCUAGGAUCAAGAAUACAGCCUUCCAGGUCACUCCCUGAUGACGUACCUCUUCCUACCGGGUCCCACCUCCUCACCGCACAUUCAGUUACUGAACUCAUCAGUGAGUGAAUUCAGUGGUGAGUACAGGGCUCCCAUGAUCCAAUCACUUCCAAAAAGCCCACCUCUGAAUACUAAGAUGCUGGGGAGAUAUUUUAGACCAAACUAUAACACUUCCUUUCCGGUUUACAUCUCCUAAUGUCACAGGAUAAUUAUCAAUAAUAUUUCUUUUGACUUUCAUAAAGAUAUGGAGAGAGAGAGCGAGAGACAGACAGAGAGAGAGAGAGAGAGAGAGAGAGAGAGAGAGAGAGAGAGCACUUCCUGGCUUGAAAUACUGUAGAUCACUUCCAG